rnacentral:rRNA from 1 species
GACGAACGCUGGCGGCGUGCCUAAUACAUGCAAGUCGACCUUAGUGGCGGACGGGUGAGUAAUGCCUAGGAAUCUGCCUGGUAGUGGGGGAUAACGUCCGGAAACGGGCGCUAAUACCGCAUACUAUCAGAUGAGCCUAGGUCGGAUUAGCUAGUUGGUGGGGUAAAGGCCUACCAAGGCGACGAUCCGUAACUGGUCUGAGAGGAUGAUCAGUCACCAUGGAACUGAGACACGGUCCAGACUCCUACGGGAGGCAGCAGUGGGGAAUAUUGGACAAUGGGCGAAAGCCUGAUCCAGCCAUGCCGCGUGUGUGAAGAAGGUCUUCGGAUUGUAAAGCACUUUAAGUUGGGAGGCGUUACCCGCAGAAGAAGCACCGGCUAACUCCGUGCCAGCAGCCGCGGUAAUUC